rnacentral:rRNA from 1 species
ACUGCCGGUGAUAAACCGGAGGAAGGUGGGGACGACGUCAAGUCAUCAUGGCCCUUACGAGUAGGGCUACACACGUGCUACAAUGGCGCAUACAGAGGGCAGCAAGCUAGCGAUAGUGAGCGAAUCCCAAAAAGUGCGUCGUAGUCCGGAUUGGAGUCUGCAACUCGACUCCAUGAAGUCGGAAUCGCUAGUAAUCGUGAAUCAGAAUGUCACGGUGAAUACGUUCCCGGGCCUUGUACACACCGCCCGUCACACCAUGGGAGUGGGCUGCAAAAGAAGUGGGUAGUUUAACCUUUCGRGGAGGACGCUCACCACUUUGUGGUUCAUGACUGGGGUGAAGUCGUAACAAGGUAGCCCUAGGGGAACCUGGGGCUGGAUCACCUCCUUAUACGAAGAUAC